rnacentral:rRNA from 1 species
CACCGCCCGUCACAUCACGAAAGUGGGUUGUACUAGAAGUCUGUGCCCUGACCCGCAAGGGGAGGAGCGGCCCAAGGUAUGACUCAUGAUUGGGUG